rnacentral:piRNA from 1 species
UGGUAAACAGAUCACCCUCCUGAAGGGUCGGG